rnacentral:lncRNA from 1 species
CCUUAAGGCCCAAUGGGCUUCGAACGUCAAGCUCAUUGACUUAAGUUGUAUGACAACUUAAUGAAUAAUGAUUCACUAAGACCCAAAAGCCCAAAACAACACCCCAUGGCCGGCCAUUUAGAGGAAGGGUAGUGAACUUGCUUUAAUUACAAGUUUGCCACUCAAAUGAAUAAAGGUAUAAAUAUGACUUUAUAGCCUUUUAUUCAUUAGGGUUUCUUUUAGAGAAAAAUUGGUGAGAACUUGUCUCUCCAUUUUCUCUCUAGGAGGCCGGCCC